UUGGAGAAUCUGAUGAUUAUGUGUGUUGGGGAUGUUCCUUUCGUGGAGUAUCUUCCUGGAGUUCUCUGGAUUUCCUGAAUUUGAAUGUUGGCCUCUCUAGCUAGGUUAGGGAAUUUCUCAUAGAUGAUAUCCUGAAAUGCGUUUUCCAAAUUGGUUCCGUUUUCCCCAUCUCUUUCAGGGACACCAAUCAGUCUUAGAUUCGCUCUCUUUACGUGAUCCCAUAUUUCUCGGAGGUUUUGUUCAUUGCUUUUCAUUCUUUUUUCUCUAUUCUUGUCUGCCAGUCUUAUUUCAGAAAGCCAGUCUUCAAGCUCUGAAAUUCUUUCCUCCGCUUUGUCUAUUCUGCUAUUAGUACUUGUGAUUGCAUUAUGAAAUUCUUGUAGUGUGUUUUUUCAGUUCCGUCAGGUUGGUUACAUUCUUCUCUACAUGGGCUAUUUUGUCUGUCAGCUCCUGCAAUGUUUUAUCAUGAUUUUUAGCUUGCUUGCAUUGGGUUACAAUGUACUCUUUUAACUCAGUGAAGUUCAUUUCUAUCCAUAUUCUGAAUUCUACUUAUGUCAUUUCAGCCAUCUCAGCCUCAGCCCAAUUCCGAACCCUUGCUAGAGAGGUGAUGCAGUCAUUUGGAGGAAAGAGGGCACUCUGGCUUCUUGAGUUUUCAGCAUUCUUGCACUGAUUCUUUCUCAUCUUUGUGGGCUUAUCUACCUUCAGUCUUUGAGGUUGCUGACCUUUGGAUUUUUUUUUUCUUUUAACAGUCUGGCCAUGUUUCUGUAGGGCUGCUGUACUUUGCUGGGCUUCUUCUCCAGUUCCUAGUCUCCUUGGAUUUUCCAGUACCUGGAGCUAUCACCAGUGAAGGCUGUGAAACAGCAAAGAUGUCAGCCUGCCUCUUCCUCUGGGAGCUCCGGCCCAGCGAGGUACAGACCUGUUGCCAGCCCAAAUGCGCCUGCAGGACAAGGCUGGAGACCCUGGUUGGGAGGUCUCACCCAGUCAGGAGGAACGGGAUCAGGGAACUGCUUAAAGAAGCAGUCUGUCCAUGCUUUCACAGAUCAGCUGUGCUGUGCUGGGGCACUGCUUCCACCCCUGGUUGGUGUGGGCUCUCCAAAGCCUGGAGGCCGGAACAGCUAAGUCGCCCAAACAGCAAAGAUGGUGGCCCCUCCCUCCCUCCGGGAGCUCUGUCCCAGGGAGAAUUCAAAUCUCUGUCAGCCAGAGAACACCAGUAGGGGUUGCUGGAGGCCUUGGUUGAAAAGUCCCACCCAGUGAGGAGGAACAGAUUGGGCACCUGCUUAAAGAAGCAGUCUGGCCAUGCUUCUGAAGAGCAGCUGUGCUGUGCUGUUCUGGGGUACCACUUCUGGGAGCUCUGUCCCAGAGAGCAGCCUGCCCUUCCCCCUGGGACCUCUGUCCCAGGUAGGUGCAACACUGCUGCUGGUGGCUGGCUGGAAUUCCAAACCAGUGGGUCUUAUCCUGUGAGGUGCAGUGGAAGUGGGGCCCGCAGAUCGUGCCGCUUGGCCCCCUGGAUUCAGCCUCUUUCCUAGGGGUAUGUACAGGGGUCUAAUCUCCCGCUUUGCAGGAGUUGCAGUUACUUUUGCUGGGAAACCCAGGGCCGGAGUAUGUAAAGCUGCUGGGUCUCUGCACGUGCUCAAGCGGCUACUCUGCUGAGACUCCAUGUAUCUCUGUGUGUCAGACUGAAGGCCCUGGUGGAGUGGGUUCACCAGGGGAUCUCCUGACCCAAGGGUUGCAAGGAUCCAUGGGAGGAGCGUGGUUUCCCAGGAUCGCACAUUCACUUACGACUUCCCUGGGUGGAGGAGGUUCCUCUGUCUCCAUGUUGCUCCUGGGUGGGCUGUCAUCCUGCCUUGCUUUUCUUCAUUCUCUGUGGAUCGAGUUGUUUCCUUGAUUAGACCCAAUGUGGGUACCUGGAUGUUUCAGUUGAAGGCGCUGUAUUUACUCGCCCCUUUCCUUCCCCUCCAUGAGAACCACUCACCCUAGCUGCUUCUAGUCAGCCAUCUUGGCCACUCCCUCCCCGCCCCCCACCUUUUUUUUUUAAAUGCUUGAAAACUAUUUGCAAAAGAAACCUAGAGAUUCUCAUGGUUCUUUUAAGAUCUUGUUGGAUGGACUGUGAAAGUGGGAUUAUUGUCUAUGAAUGGUCAGCUAGACUGUGUGUGUGUGGAAAGGGUGAGGGAAUUAACAUUUAUUGAGCAAAAGGGCAUGCUAGUUAAAAUCAUUGUCUCUGGGGACAGAUUUUUCUGGGUUUUAAUCCAAACUCUGACACGUAUUAGCCGUGUGACCUCUAUUUUUCAUUUGUAAAAUGGAGAUGGGAUUGUUGCGGGGAUUAAAAGCACUUACAACAGUCCAGGAUAUAGAAAGCACUGUGUAAGAGCUGGCUGUCAUAUAUUAGUCAUCAGUCAUCAUACUUAAUAAUCACAAAAUUGUUAGAAAAUCCUGUGAGGUAGGUAUUUUCCUUACCAUACCCAUAUGAGAAAACUUAAGCAAGGAGAAGUCAAACAAAGUUACCAAAGUCACACAAUUACGGAGUGACAGAGCCUUUAGACGCUGCCUAGUCCAAGGCUUUCAUUUCACAGAAGAGAAAACUGAAGUUCAAAAUAGGAGAGGGACAUGCCUGAAGUCAUUUAGUGAGCCAGUGACAGAACUGGGCCUAGAACUCAGCAGCAGGACUCUUCCUGUCAGUAGUUCUCAAACUUUGUCAUGUGUUACAAUCCUGCAGAGGACUUGCUAAAACAAACUGCUGGUACCCAUGCCUAGAGUUUCUUACUUAGUAGGCGUGGGGUGGGCCUUGAAAAUUUGCAUUUCUAAGGAGUUCUCAAAUGAUGCCACUGCUGGUGGUCUGGGGACCCUACUUUGGGAACCACCACAACACACCAUAAUUCAUACAUCUUUUGUUCUUUUCAUCAUGGACUACACAGUGUGUGACCUACAAACACUUUCAAAGAAAUGGGAACCGGUGAUGAAAACCAAAGAAAAUUACAUAUCUAGCAGCAAGAAGGUACGGUGACUGACCAACAGUCCUGGUUUGUGUGGGACUCUCCUACUUUUAAAAUGGAAAGUCCUGUAGUUCUGGGCACAAGAGGAUGGUUGGUCACUCUAGAUGAAAGCAAACAAAAGUCAGUGUCAGCUAAAUGCCAAACGAAAAAGGACAUACAUACAGAGAAUGUGGUAACUUCUGGUGAAUUUGUUUGAAAAGGACCCAUUCAUUUAUUCUUCCAACACAUCUGUAUUAUAAAACUACUAUCCAUAAGGCACUGUGUUAGGUGCUGUGUUCCUGACCCUACAGAUCCCAUUCCACCAUAGCAAAAGGUAAAAGUGACUCUACAGUGAGCUUGGUAGACAUAGACCCAUGCUUAUAUACUCAGGGACACCUGGAAGAGAUAUAAAAACAGAAACAUCUCACAUAGGAAGUUUUCAAUGCAUCGUGAUCAGGACUCAAAUAAUCCCCUUCUCUUUUUCUUCAGUGUACUAAAGGGAGCACAUUGUUGAGAAGGACCGGUUGCAAAUUUCCAAAAAGGAGAGUAAAAUAAUUAAUGAGUCAAGGUCUCAGGAGAGACAGAAGGCUCACCAUCUAAAUGCAGAAGCAAGAUCAAGAACACGGAAUAACCACAGAGGUGCCUCUACUGAAGAGCAAAUGGGUGUGGUAGAUUGAACUGUAACCCUCAAAAA
rnacentral:lncRNA from 1 species